rnacentral:lncRNA from 1 species
AUGGCCUUUUGUCUGCUGCCAGUGGGGGCUGGCCCUGCUGGAGGGCGGCGCGGCUCGCGGAAGGGCGACGGCCGGGAGCGGCGGGUGCGCGCGGGGCGGGUGCGCGCUCGGCCGGGGCGCGGGCUGGGCACCCCCGGCCUCCCUCGGGCAGCCGCUCGGUGCUCACGGCUCCGCGCGCGCCCGCCUCCCUCCUCCUCCUCCUCCUCCUCCUCCCCCCUCCUCUUUCUCUCCCCUCCCCCUCCCCCUCCUCCUUCCACUCCCCCUCCUCCUCCUCCUCCUCCUCCUCCCCCUCCUCUUUCUCUCCCCUCCCCCUCCCCCUCCUCCUUCCCCUCCUCCUCCUCCUCCUCCUCCUCCCCCUCCUCUUUCUCUCCCCUCCCCCUCCCCCUCCUCCUAUCCCCUCCUCCUUCCCCUCCUCCUCCUCCUCCUCCUCCUCCUCCUCCCCCUCCUCCUAUCCCCUCCUCCUUCCCCUCCUCCUCCUCCCCUUCCCUCCCCUCACUUCCUCUCCCUUCCCAAACCCCAGCUCGCAUCACCCUUCCCGCCUCCUCCCACCCCUCCCCUUUCUCCUCCCACUUCCUCCUUCCUUCUCCCUCUCGAGAAGGACCCGAAAAGCUGGAGUCGGCUUCUGCUGUCCCUGGAGUGGCCUGUGCACACCAGUCCCCUCCCUGCCCCUGGACAGCCACCCUGCUCCUGCCGGGCUGCAAGCUUCGAGGCCUUCAGAUCGGGGCACCCUUGGACCUGGCCUCCUUCAAGAGGCAGGGGCACAGACCUCCGCGACUAAGGUCCAGCGGGACUUGCAUCCGGUCCUCGUCUAGACAGUCUAGAAGAGGCUUCCGUAAUAUAGGCUUUAUUCUGUUCGAAGUAAUAGGAAAUAUCCUUUAUCAGGCCCUUCCCUGGCUCUCCACUCUCCUGCUUUGGGUGUCCAAGGACAGGACCUCCAGCCUAGCUUCCCGAGGCCAAACCUCUCCCUCUCUCUCUGCCCCAAAAGCCACCUCCCAAUCUUCCUGA